GGUAAGCAGAACUGGCGAUGCGGGAUGAACCGAAAGCAGUGUUAAGGCGCCUAACUACACGCUCAUUUAGACCCCAGGAAAGGUGUGGAUGCGUAUGGACAGCAGGACGGUGGUCAUGGAAGUCGACAUCCGCUAAGGAUUGUGUAACAACUCACCUGCCGAACGCAUCUGCCCUGAAAAUGGAUGGCGCUCAAGCGUGUGGCCGAUACACUGCCGCUAAAACGAAGCUUAUGUUUUAGUGAGUAGGAGGGCGUCGAGCUCGUUUAGAAGCUUUGGGCGUGAGUCUGGGUGGAACGGGCUCGAGUGCAGAUCUUGGUGGAAGUAGCAUAUAUUCAAGCGAGAACCUUGAGGACUGGAGUGGAGAAGGGUUCCAUGUAAACUGCGAUUGACCAUGGGUGAGUCGAACCUAAGAGAUGGGGUAAUUCCGUGAGAGAAGCGUGUAGAACGCUAUCCAUCGAAAGGGAAACGGGUUAAUAUUCCCGUACCAAAAAACGGAGUGUACGCGGUAACGUAAAUGAACCCGGGGACGCCGGUAGAGACUCUGGGGAGAGUUCUCUUUUCUAUUUAAAAACGCUUCUAUCCAUGGAAUCGGGUUAUCCGGAGAAAUGGUGGGAUGUGCUGAAAAAUGACACCACCGCGUGUCGUCCGGUGUGUCUCUGUCGGCCCUUGAAAACCCGGGGGAUGAUUUGACUCUCGAACUUGGUCGUACCCAGAACCGCAUCAGGUCUCCAAGGUGAGUAGCCUCGAGUCGAUAGACGAAGGUGGGUAAGGGAAGUCGGCAAAAUAGAUCCGUAACUUCGGGA
rnacentral:rRNA from 1 species